rnacentral:rRNA from 1 species
UACAGAGGGUGCGAGCGUUAAUCGGAAUUACUGGGCGUAAAGCGUGCGUAGACGGUUAUCUAAGUCGGAUGUGAAAUCCCCGGGCUCAACCCGGGAACUGCGUCUGAUACUGGAAGGCUUGAAUUCGGGAGAGGGAUGCGGAAUUCCAGGUGUAGCGGUGAAAUGCGUAGAUAUCUGGAGGAACACCGGUGGCGAAGGCGGCAUCCUGGACCGGUAUUGACGCUGAGGCGCGAAAGCCAGGGGAGCAAACGGG